GUAGGAACAAAUCUUGAUAGUAUUAUAAAUGUUUUGUUUGAAGAAAAUUACAUAGAUUUUAACAAUGAUCAAAUCGUAAGAAGGUAUUUCUACUCUAAGAUAGAACAUUAUGAAUGGCUGAAAAGACCUAUCAACUACCUUCAAAGAAAAUAAAAAUCAAAGUACAUGACAAAUAUAAUUUACCGCAUCUUAGACUUCCUCAACAUAUGAUCACCACUCCUUGUAGAACUCUCUUCUUGAAAGGGACAUGAUGUCAUAGAUAUAUAUAUCAAUUGAAAUUAUUACCUAGAUAAUAUGAAAAGUUAGAAGUUGAUAAAAGUAGAUUCAUUUUAUACUAUUUUUUAAAGAAGCUUCCUAGAAGCGUUUUAGGUGCUCUUUUGACUUUAUAUAGGAUUAUAGUUGAUUGAUAGGUUAGAAACUUGGUCAAAAAACUAACCAUGUGCCACAUGUGUUGAUACCUUAUAAAACAAGCUAAUUAUAUGGCACCCAUAUAGAAAACUUAUCUUAUAAGAUAAAAUAUAUGUCAUACAAAGUCAACAUGAUAUUGGACAAUCUAUAGAACGUCACCACAUAGUUCCUAAAUAGAUAAUAUUUAUAGAAGCAAGAGUAAAGCUUUCUUUACUCUUGUGAAUUCUCUUCUUGUUUUUCGUUUAAUUUUAAGACUCUCUAAUUUCUUUGUUUUUUGGCAAUAGCCAUUUCAAAUUUCUUUUUAAUAUACAUAUUUUUUUAUAUUUAUUUUUUUAAUAUUUGUUUGAGAAAGCCACAUUUGUUUAUUUGCUUUCAUCAAAAUCUUGUUCUUGACAUUAUAUUAGAAAUAUCAUCAAAGUAGAAAACUAUAUCUAAGAUCAAUUCCAAAUAUCAACACUCCGCACAAAACUUCCAUUUGACAUCUAAUAAUCUCUGAUCUUUAAUUAAAACAAAUUGAAUGUAACCAAGGGUAUCAACUAUCACAAACUCCAAAAUAGCCUACUCACUUGAACCAUCAAUCAAUUACUUCUAAUGCAUGCUCACACUGUACAGUUUAAAUAACAACUAUGAAUCUUGAACAAAGAGUAGAUGGGAAAAAACCUUGCCUUGAAUUAAAACAUCAAGCAACAGAAGCAAUACUCAGAAAAAAAUAUAAACAAAAACAAAAAGAUACCAUGACAACAACAGCAUACCUAUGUCAGAUGUUAUAAGUGCCAAUUGGAAAUAAAAAACAUCAUAUUACAUAUAUUCUAAAAAUUUUAAAAAAAUGUCUAAUAAUAAAUUGUAACAUAAAAAUUUGGUAUUUAACUUUAUUAUUUUAUACAAUCCACUCUUCAUAGAGGAAUAUAAUACAUGCCACCUCCACAUAAUCUUUCACUAAUAAAUGUUCUAUUCACUGUUUGAACAAAAUAACAAUCAGAAUACAUUUGCUUAUAAUAUAAUAAUGCAAUAGUAUUCUAUUAAAGUAUAUGAACUGUAUAUGAGCCAUUGUAUUAUAUGAAAAUCAUAAACUGAAUACAAAACUCAGGCUAGAAGUGAACACACUCUCAUCGUAUUCGGCUACACUAUUUAUGAGGGAGGAUGAACGAGAGUCAGUCAUUCUGUUGUCCUGGAUUACUCCUCCACAUUCGUUCCUUCUCCCCCAAGCCCUGAGCCCUGUUUGGACUGGGACACUGCACGAUACACUCAGUGAUCCUCCAAAAUCAUUCCUGCAGCAUCAAUCAAGCCGCAAUCAUUCCUGAUACAAGCAUUAUAUUAGAAGCAAGUGAACUUGAGAGUUUUUGAUAGAAAGAAUAUAUUACCUAUA
rnacentral:lncRNA from 1 species